rnacentral:rRNA from 1 species
CCUACGGGUGGCAGCAGUGGGGAAUAUUGGACAAUGGGGGGAACCCUGAUCCAGCCAUGCCGCGUGUGUGAAGAAGGCCCUCGGGUUGUAAAGCACUUUCAGUGAGGAAGAACGCCUGGUGGUUAAUACCCAUCAGGAAAGACAUCACUCACAGAAGAAGCACCGGCUAACUCCAUGCCAGCAGCCGCGGUAAUACGGAGGGUGCGAGCGUUAAUCGGAAUUACUGGGCGUAAAGCGCGCGUAGGUGGCUUGAUAAGCCGGUUGUGAAAGCCCCGGGCUCAACCUGGGAACGGCAUCCGGAACUGUCAAGCUAGAGUGCAGGAGAGGAAGGUAGAAUUCCCGGUGUAGCGGUGAAAUGCGUAGAGAUCGGGAGGAAUACCAGUGGCGAAGGCGGCCUUCUGGACUGACACUGACACUGAGGUGCGAAAGCGUGGGUAGCAAACAGGAUUAGAUACCCUUGUAGUC